GAUGAACGCUGGCGGCGUGCCUAAUACAUGCAAGUCGAACGCACAGCGAAAGGUGCUUGCACCUUUCAAGUGAGUGGCGAACGGGUGAGUAACACGUGGACAACCUGCCUCAAGGCUGGGGAUAACAUUUGGAAACAGAUGCUAAUACCGAAUAAAACUCAGUGUCGCAUGACACAAAGUUAAAAGGCGCUUUGGCGUCACCUAGAGAUGGAUCCGCGGUGCAUUAGUUAGUUGGUUGGGUAAAGGCCUACCAAGACAAUGAUGCAUAGACGAGUUGAGAGACUGAUCGGCCACAUGGGGACUGAGACACGGCCCAAAAUCCUACGGGAGGCUGCAGUAGGGAAUCUUCCACAAUGGGCGAAAGGCUGAUGGAGCAACGCCGCGUGUGUGAUGAAGGCUUUCGGGUCGUAAAGCACUGUUGUAUGGGAAGAACAGCUAGAAUAGGGAAUGAUUUUAGUUUGACGGUACCAUACCAGAAAGGGACGGCUAAAUACGUGCCAGCCGCCGCCGUAA
rnacentral:rRNA from 1 species